rnacentral:rRNA from 1 species
UACGAAGGGGGCUAGCGUUGCUCGGAAUCACUGGGCGUAAAGCGCACGUAGGCGGCUUUUUAAGUCAGGGGUGAAAUCCUGGAGCUCAACUCCAGAACUGCCUUUGAUACUGAGAAGCUUGAGUCCGGGAGAGGUGAGUGGAACUGCGAGUGUAGAGGUGAAAUUCGUAGAUAUGACAUAGAACACCAAUUGCGAAGGCAGCCCGCUACACGGUUAUUGACACUGAGGCACGAAAGCGUGGGGAUCAAACAGG